rnacentral:rRNA from 1 species
AGAGUUUGAUCAUGGCUCAGGAUGAACGCUAGCUACAGGCUUAACACAUGCAAGUCGAGGGGCAGCAUGAAGUUUGCUUGCAAACUUUGAUGGCGACCGGCGCACGGGUGAGUAACGCGUAUCCAACCUUCCCCUUAGUAGGGCAUAGCCCGGCGAAAGUCGGAUUAAUACCCUAUGUUCUUCGUAGAGGACAUCUGAAAUGAAGCAAAGGUUUACCGCUAAGGGAUGGGGAUGCGUCUGAUUAGGGUAGUAGGCGGGGUAACGGCCCACCUAGCCUGCGAUCAGUAGGGGUUCUGAGAGGAAGGUCCCCCACAUUGGAACUGAGACACGGUCCAAACUCCUACGGGAGGCAGCAGUGAGGAAUAUUAGUCAAUGGGCGCGAGCCUGAACCAGCCAAGUAGCGUGCAGGAUGACGGCCCUAUGGGUUGUAAACUGCUUUUAUCAGGGGAUAAAGUGAGGGACGUGUCCCUUUUUGUAGGUACCUGAUGAAUAAGGACCGGCUAAUUCCGUGCCAGCCGCAGC